UAAAAGAGCACAUGGAACCAAAAUAACCAUUCUUUUAAGCAAAUAGUCUCUGGCCCUUGGUCAAUCCAGCCAACAGCUGAGGGAUGGGUUCACUAAAGCAGAUUCUAUCUUGUCUUUCCACACAAUUUGUUUAGUCAUCCAUAGAAUUGUAUAAUCAAACAGAACUUUAUUCCAGGAUUAUUUACAAAGGUAAUACCCUUCACACCUUUCCCUCAGGAACUUUUCUGCCAGUGUGUAGCCCAAACUCAUCGAUGCUUGUGCUGACCUUUCACUUGGCUCCAGUUUUGGCUGUGUGGUUGCAAUUUCCCUUACGCAAUGUCCCAAGGUACUGCAUGUUUCUGCCUUUGUGCUCCAUCGGUUUUGUUGUUCAAACCUCUCCAUAAUUUUUUGCUAGGCAGGAAACCACACAUUUCACAGGCCCUUGGCAUCCUGACAGCAAAAACAGAACGCUUCACCUCCGCGGCGACAUCUGCCUUGUGUGAGGCGCGCUGGGAGAGGGAGGGCUCUCUGUUUGGGAAGUUGUUUCUGCGCACAGGAGACACACCUGGAAGACCACAAGGAGCACAUUUGUAGAAUGCUUUUGACUCCCUAAAUAUUUAACACCACACAGUCUCAGAAUGAUGAUAAAGCUGCCAAAUGUUCUGUCAGAGCUUCUGUUUGACUUUCCCAAUGCCUAGAAGGGCCAAGAAGAGGAAAAAAGUCCCACCAGUUCCUGUGGCUGACACCAGCCUCAGCCCAGCAGCCAAAGGGCCUCCGCUCAGCAGAAAGCUGGUGGUCAGAGGGGAAGCCUUACACAGAGCAGGGACACAUCAUGGUAGAUGCUAACUUCUGCAAGGCACAACUGAGAAUAUCAAACUGCUUACCAGCUUCCAACUGACAACCAAAAGACAAAACUCUUGAAGAAGCUUUUCAUGCUGUUAUAAAAAAGGGCCUCUCUGCCUCUGGGAGUCAGCAGCUCCUCCCAGUUCAGUGUCUUCAGCAAAACUAUUCAGUGUGGCUUUGAUUUCCGUGUCCAACUUGUUGAUGAUGCUGUUGAAGAGAACUGGCCCUGAAAUGGAACCUCACAAGUGACCUGUCACCAGCCUGAA